GACAUGGACGGAGUUGAUCAAUGCAGUACCGGAUGCUGAAGAAGUAUUAUCCUCGAUAUUCAACGGGGAGAACUUGCAAGAGAUCCAGUCUCAGCAGUCGCCACCACCUCCACUGCAAAAUCAAAACACGAUCAAUGUUGGAGACCAAAAUAGGGCUAAAUUUAUGAACGGAUUAGGGUUUCCUAAUUAUUAUUAUUAUUAUCAGCCACAGUUGCCAACAGUAAUAUUACUGGAGGAAACUGAAGAGGAACAAAAGAAGAAAAAGAUUUUAAUUAAAAAUAGAGCUUCAGCCGCAAGAUCUCGAGCCAGGAAAUUGGUAAAUAAUAAUUUUGUUAUAAUGUAAUUUUAAUUUGUCAAAGUUAUGUUAUCAUCAUCGUGCAUGCAGUAAAGUAAUUAAAGUGUAUAUAAUAGUAUACCAUAAUAGUGUACCAAGAGCAGUCUUUUUGUGUGCAUAUCUUCUGGGAGGUUAAUUAAUUUAAUUAAGUUUCUUUGUUAAUUAUAAAUAUGCAGGAGCGUAUUAAAUUUCUGGAGGAGCAAGUGGAGACAUUGAAAGAAGAGAAUGCUAAAUUGAAGAGAAUAAUACUUGUUAGUUAUUAAAUUCUUAAAUUUAUUAAUUGUUAUUCUUGAUUCUCAAUUAGCAUGCAAUCUCAUCUUAAUUUGAUUUGAUCAGGAGGAAACACUGAGAAGGAGAUGCCAAAAGGUAAUUAAGAUCAUACUUUAUCAAAGUACUUUUGUAUCGCGACGUUAACAUAUAUUUAAGCAGCUAGCCGUUAAUCAAUGAUAGAAAACUAUUGUAAAAUAACUCGAUGUUCAAAUGAUCACUUAAGUUCAGCAUCGCUCACUAACAAGAGCCAGUAAUCAAAAUAUUUUAAUUCCUGAUUUAAAUUAUUGUUCAUUGUAGACUUUAUAGUAUAUGAUUCUAAUUAAGUGAUGAUUAAUAUUAAUUAAUAAUAUUUAAUUAUGCUCGUGAUGAAAGUAUUCCAAUAUAUAUGUAUAUAUAUAUAUAUGUGCGCGCGCGUGCACGCGCAUCAAUGCUAAUAUUAAUUAUUAAGAGAUUUUAAUCAUUCUCUUCAUGAAAGGAUUAUUUUUUUUUCUCAUAAUACUUAUGAAUGCAUUUGUUGGCAUUUACCUUGUUUUGGUUAACAGAUACAAGUGGAAAUGAUCAAGGAGACGACUGCAAAGAAGUUAAAGGAACAAAGAAGGACCGUAAGCUCGUGAUGGUGAAAAACAAAAUUAUAAAAAAAAAAAAGAAGAAACGCACAAGUCGUGUACUUGCAGCUUCACUAUGUAAUUUUAAUCUGCAUUUUG
rnacentral:lncRNA from 1 species